rnacentral:lncRNA from 1 species
GCUUUAACAGCUGGACCGCCGCCCAACUUCUUGAAGAGGGUAUCCUUGCUGACGCUGGGUGCCUCACCAGUUGUGGUGACGGUCUGGUCAGUGGUGGCACAUGCCAACACCUGCAGGCACAGAUGUGCUCUUUGAUUAACACACUAUACCAUGAUCAAGGUCAAUAAAUCGAAGGCAGGAGGCAGUCAGUUUGCAACUUCAACGACGGCUAUGGCUGACAUCAAUAAGGCAUCUCUUGUGUUCACAUCCAUCGUACCUGCCUGGUGAGACGUCCUUUAUUGUUGGCGUGGCGACAGAAGAUUCUGUGGCUGCAUCUUUGAGAAGUGUGGAAAGAGCUGCCUGCGCAAGAGGAAGGACAACACAAUAUGAUGGGAGCAUAAAGGAAUGAAAAAGGGUUGGUGAAGAGGCGACGAAGGCAGGUGAAUUACUUUGGCCGUUCUUGAAGUUUCUUUAAACAAAUCGUAGUGCAAUUGCUCAUGAUCUUAGAGAAGGUGGCCUCACUGCUUGCGCGCUUUGUUGUCAGUGACACAUCCCGUACGACACACCCAUCGAGACACCUGCACUACCGACGUUAACGUUGGAUUCAAGCUUAUACAGGUAAAACAUUGCAUGAGACAGACUGUUUCAGUACGCAGCUCCAGUGCCAAGUGUGAAACUUGCGCAUAAAGGACAGAAGACAGAUCUGUACGGUGGUCGGGUGGCCGCUACACGCGGGUUGCAAUGCGCACCUCGACAUCUUAUUGUUGCUAACCUUGAAUUUGUACAAGUUUGGAUCUGGAAAUCUUUGCAGAUUGUGCUUCUCGAACGAACUUUGUGAAUCUUAAAGCGAUC